rnacentral:tRNA from 1 species
GGAGAGAUGGCCGAGUGGUCUAAAGCGAUGGAUUGCUAAUCCGUUGUGCAUUUUUUGUACCGAGGGUUCGAAUCCCUCUCUCUCCU